AGCCAUUUUUGUCCUCACUGUUGAGGAGAAUAUCAAGAAGGUGGAAAAGUCGUUUCUGUCCUUGCUCUUCUCUGUGUUGGAUAGGGAUCGUUGUCGGGUUUGGAAUUCAGCCAUUCAGAUCAAGAUCAAAGAAAGCAAAAGAAGAGAAAAGACGGAAAAGAAGAAUAGAAAAGAGGAGAAGAUCUCCCCGAGAAUAGACCGGCCGGAAGGUCGCCGGGGUGGGAAAGAGAAAGAGGAGAGAUCCAAGAUUGUGGUGGACUUCCGGGGGAAGGUUUGAGUUUGUUUCUGGAGAGGUGGAUGCUAAAAUUUUGAUCGAGUUUGGGGGAGAGCUUUCAGCAGGAGAAGAGUGUAGAGAUGAAGAAGGGAUAUUCUUGGUAUAUUCAGUCAGUAGCUUUGAAAGCACCUGUGUAUUCAAUUGGACCAAUUUAGGAGUGGAGUGCCUUCUGUGUAAUCAAAAGUUUCUGGUCAAGAUACAGAGAGAUACCAACCUGAUAAACCAUAAUCUCCAGCAGCAAAGCUUUAUCGUUGUUAGAGAUAGCUGAUGUUCACAAAAGGUAAUUUUCACGUCAUCAUCUGAGUAGAAGCAACUUUCUCUUCAAGUUACUUUUGAUACCUUUGCUUCCAUCUUCUUGAUUUAAAUAUUAGGUUUACUUAAUCUGACUUUCAAGCUUUUAAUGGUAUUUUUUUUUAUAGGUUAUUAAAACCAUUACACAGGUUUAACUCUCUCUCUCUCUCUCUCAACAAUUCAUUGUUUUUGUUUUUCUAGACCACAAAUGAGAAUAUGGAAGUAUUGGGAGAAAGAGACAAAAAUAGUUCCAUACCACACUACUAGAAUUUUGCUCUUAGACAUCACGACAAUUACAUCGGUGAGAAAUUCACGCGAUGUAAAAAAUUAUCAUUAACAUCGAUUCCUCAAAUUCCGAUUUAUAUGUAUAUAAUUGACAUCGUUUUUUACUGUUGACUGAUGUCUAUAUUUUGAUUCCAAAAUUUUUGAAAACGCGGAAAGACUAACUUAAACAAUUUCGUACACGCGGGGAACAAAAUUUUCCCACUCUACUUCACUCACUCUCUCUCGCCCUUCCCUGAAACCUAUCCCCCUCCUCCUCACCCUCCUCCUCCCUCUCUCUCUCUCUCUCUCUCUCUCUCACCCCCGUCCCAACUGAACCGGAACCACAAAACCCUAGAAAACGAAUUUGAAGAGAUUUCUUUGUGGCUCAUCUCGGAGGUGCAGCCUAGCGUUGACUCGUCGGAGGAUGGCGAAGAAGAUGGUGGCUACGGUGAGCCCACUCCGGUGGUUGGAGAUCGUGUCGGAGGAGAGAGUGUCCUCCAGAUCCACUUUGUCUCGUGGAGUUCUUGUUUCCUUUCUGUUCAGCACCCAACCUCCUCCUCCAUCUCCGAACGGCACCGAACCGUCCUCUUCUUCCUUCUCCGCCUCCGACCAGAACCCGUCUAAGAACGAAGAGGAGAGAGAGGUCGGGUGCGAGGGGUUAGGGCUCAAAGAUGGUGGAUGUUCCAGAGUUCAAGGCCUCCGUUUCAGAGACAAAUUGGAGCAACUCCGAAAGAAGUCUGGGUAAUUUGAAUCUUUUUAGUUUAUGGAUUUGGUUUUGUGUCUUUGAAGUAUUUGUGAGUGGGUUUCUUAAGUUUCUUCACUUUUGUGUGAUUCCUUCUUUAAUUUAUUGAAUGGAUUGGAUUAUUGGCAUGAUAGUCAUAUGCAGAUAUAGAUCCUCUAGGCUUUUUUUUGAUUGAGGAUGGAACAGAAAAUUGAACUAUCGCCAAAAAUGGUAUACCCAGAAAAGUACUGCUGUUGAUUUUAUGAAAUUCAUAACUUCAGAGAUAUAUUGACUGCAGAGGAGCUUAAUCCCUUUCUUGAUGGCUCUGCACAAUCACAGAUGCACUUCCUUUGACAAUUAUUUUACUUUGUUCGUCAGUUACACUACUUUUGUACAUAUGUGAAGGUAUCCAUCUGCCCACGGAGCAGUAUUGCUUUCGCUUGUGAAAACUGAAAAGUUGAACCCUUGAUGUGUUAUUUUCAAAGAUCUACUUCUGCUAAAGGUGUGUAUCCACCCUAUUUGAAGCUCAUGUUGCUCCUGCAGGGCCAUUGAUAAAGCACUUCUCUUCCCUUGUCAAGUGGACGAGGGCGGCAUCUGCCAAAACACCCCAAUCAGGGGAAGCCUCCUGACUGGCAAGAUUUUGCGGUUAUUAUUACUCUGCUGGUCAUCAACUCCACCAUUAGUUUCAUCAAGGAAAAUAAUGCGAGUAAUGCUGCAGCAGCUCUCAUGGCUCGUCUUGCUCCUAAAGCCAAGAAAUGGUCCGAGAUCAUUGGGCAAGCACGCCAAAGUGUCGAAGUUCUUAAAGAUCAGGAAGUGAUUGAUACGCUUUGAGCAAGCGCAUAAUUUAACCCUGAAAACAUCGUUAGUAGUAUAAGCAAAUAGGGAUCGUUCUAUUCCGGGGAUUGAGGGUACACUUGUCAUUGUCAAAAAAAACAAAUAAAGAAUUAAAAUAAUAAAGUAAAAAGUAUUAUGUACAAAAAUAAAAUAAAGAAUAAAAAUAUAUACAAGUUAAUAUAAAAAGGGGGGUUUUGAGAUUAUAGAAUUGGAAUUAAAAUUAAAUGAAAUAAAGAAAGUGUAAAAACACAUAUACAAGGGAGGAACACAAGAAACAAAGAUCAAAACUACAAUCAUAUGUAUGAAAUCCAAUUACAAUUCCUAUAGUUGAUUAUCUAUGUCAUGAGAAAUAAGUUGACCAUGUGAAACAUUCGAAGCAAAUGAUUUCCCAUAUUUUACUUUCCUUGAAUAUUUAAUCUAAGUGAAAGCACUUAAAUUAAACCUAUUGAACAUGCAAUCAUAGUCUAGAAAACUAGCUAAUCAAGAACACAUUCAAUGCAUGAAGAACAAAGAAAGGAUGUCAACCAAAGUGCACAACCUAGUAUGAAAAAGUCCAUCUAUUUGCAAUCCUCCUUAAUUGAUUUCGACUUUUGUCCAAAGCCUUUACUACUUAAAUCUAGCACCAAUUACAUGCAUAUAUCCUAAGUUGGCCAUCAAAGAACACAUACAUAUAAAAGUUUUCCAUAAUCCAAAAUCAAUUAAGCAAUCUCACAUAAGCAACAUAAAAAUCAACAUAAAGAAAUCACAAUUUUUAUUCAAACAUAGAAAUUGGGCUUAAACUUUGCCCUUAAUGUUAUUGUUAACUAGAAACAAAUUCCUACGAAAUUAAAUAAGGAAAAAGAAUGAAUUACACCGUGAGUUGGAGAUGGAGAUGGAGUGCUUGAAACGUUGAAAUCUUGAAUCUUGGAAGCAAGCCUUCAAGGUGGACGAUGGAGGAUAUGAUAUUCCCGGCUCCUUCUUCUUCUUCUUCUUCUUACUUGAAAACGCAGAAUUUUGCAACUAGAGAAUGGAGAGAAAAAUGGAAUGGAAAUGGAGAGACAAAGAAGAUGAAAUGGAUGAAGGAAUGUGUUUAGAGUGAGAGGAGAAGGUGUUUAUAUAGAGAAGAAAAAGAAGAGUGAAAUGAUAAAUGGAAGAAAAAUAAUGAAAGUGGUUUGUAAAAUAUGGAAAAGAUGGAGUAAUGAUGAAAUGAAAGCAAGGCAUGAAUGUGCAGAAGUAUGGAAGUGAUGAUGAUCUAUUGGAGCAGAAAAAUAUAUCCAAGGAAAAAGAGAAAAGCAUCUAGCUUUCUUCAUGUGGGUAGGAAACAUGAACAUGUGAAUAUUGAGCUGGUUUUAGGUCAAUUUCUGCCCCUUUAUUCCUUCAAUUAUUUCUCCAACAGGAAUUCAUUUUUGGCUCUUGACUUCUUCAUAUGAAAUGAUCUACCAUGAGUGUAGAUCAUUUUGGUAAAAUUUCAGAAUUUAUUUCCAUGCCUUUGGGCCAGAAUUUCUGCUGGACUCCUUACGGGUCCAGUUUUCCAGUUUUGCUUCUGCAGGAAAUUGGGCUGACUGUUUGAAGGCCUUCCGCUCAAUUCUAGCUCUGGCACUCUUCAUAAGAAACGAUCCUUAGGAUGUCUAGAAUGGAUCUGGAAAGUUUCAGCUCAUUUGGAGUUCAUUUGGUCAGGCGGCCGCUCCUUCUUCCUUGCUUGGCUUGGUUUCUCCUAGCCGGAGUAGGAAAAUGUGUAAAAUUGACCUUUUAGUACAUUUCCAUUUUUCUCCAUCAUUUAUAGGUAAUUAUGGACCUAAUGCUCAUUUCAUCAUCAUCUACUCCAAUGUACCUAAAAAAAUAGAAAUUAAGUUAAAAAUCGAUUCGUUAAGGAAUUAACUAAGCAAAAUGUGAGGAAUUAACUAUUAAAAUACCACAUUAAAAUGCUGCUAUCAGUGAUUCGAACCAUUCUUAAUAUAUUACAGACAAACACAAGGGUUGCCAGCUCUCUUGGAACAUUUCUCUUAACCCAGAUUUCAUUGAUCUUUUUCGACAUGCUUAAUGUCUACAAUCAAUUGGUGUGAGUGUCCAUGUAACCAGUGAUGAGAAGAAAGUAGUGCAAAGAUGGCCUUGCUUAUGGAAUGGUACACAAUGACCGUUUUACUUCUUUGCAAACCCUUUGUUUUGUAUAUGGAGAAGUUUAGGCCAUAUGUCCCCUUCUCCCUACUCUUUGUACACUUUUUUUUAUCAAAAAUAGUAUUAAUGAGAAUUUUCUUUUGGUUACCA